rnacentral:rRNA from 1 species
GUCUAUGGCCAUGCCACCCUGAACAAGCCUGAUGUCUGAUCUCGGAAGCUAAGCAGGGUUGGGCCUCGUUAGUACUUGGAUGAGAGACGACCUAGGAAGACCAGGUGCUAUAGGCA